ensembl:lncRNA
GAAAUUUAUGCCACUGGAACCGAUCUGUCUUCACCUAUAGGCUGCAUCGGGAUCUACUGUAUGUGCCAGCAGUUUAGAUGAUUAUCUUCAAAAUUAUAUAAUAUAGAGAUCUAAAAUCUGCACCAUUCCAGGUCGGUGUUUUGGUCUUUACAACACAUGAGACCUAAUGUUCCUUCCUUCUGCAUAUACACAGAGCGAGUGAGUAACAUCCAGGGCUCAUCUUAGAUCUUAAUCUCACAAGGCUCGCACGAGGACGUUCUCUUUAACCAUCCUACGGUUUUCCUCUCUAAUCAUUUCAGCCUCCCUGUACCACCUCAGAGAAGAGCCAAGUUCAAAGCGCCAUUCAAAAGCCGCUGCUGUAAAAGAGGAGCAGGAAAUCUAAUUAGUAUGUGCGACAAAGAAAUUAAAAUAACCUAAGCUGUAUUCGUGGCACUGAGGUUAUGGACAUCGUCAUGCUGUGGGCUAAAUAUUAAAGCAGGCCUUUUCUGUAUCUGACAGAAGAGUUCUGGCUCAGGUGACGGAAAUCAGGGCCAACUUGUCCAAAAAGGCUGUAUCAUCUUCCAUUUAGUUUAAUGAAGUAUUAUAACCCAGGGCUUAUUAUAUGGAGGAAUAUAAGAGAAAUCUUGGCUUUGGUUGUGUGGUUAUUGGACUAUUAGCUGGUUUCUUACCAGGACACAAUAGGGCUUUUCACUCUUGAAAUAGUUAACCCUGGGUCAUUCUAUACCCCAGGUAAACAGAAUCCUGUGUUUCCUGUUUUGCAAUUUACACUGCUCAUACCUGGGGUUAACAGUUAAUCCUGUGUAUUCAUACACUGUACAUUCAUAAACCUGGGUUGGUGUUCUUAUUUGCAUAUUUGUGGUGUCAGUGUCAUUUUUGAUUGGACGAAUGCGGAAAAUGGCUUCAGCACUGAAGCUGACUUUUCGAUGGACUGAAAAUGUAACUAUAAAACAGGCUCUUCUUCACUUUAUAUUUUCCCCUCAAAUGCUUAUUUUCUGCAAACAAAUUGUUAGCUGCAAGCUGAAACCAAAUACACUGUACUGUGUGCCAUCUUCAUUGAAACAUAAGUACCACAAUUUCCAGUCAGCACUUAGGGAGACUGUAAAAUCUCGGCAACUAUUGGAACAGCCACUCCAACACUUCAGUUACAGACUCUCUAGGAUCUCCUCAAAUGCACAAGCAGUAAUGGACUCAGGCUGGAAGAAAAUAUCAAAAUAAAUGAACAAUGCUGCUACAUUACAGGCUCGCACACAGCAGGAGUGUCACACACGCAUGAAUGCAUUUACAAAACUGAACAGUAAUGUGAGAACUGCUACCAUAGUCGAGAGAGAUUCAAGACACACAGAGCAAUUAAACAUGAAAGAAUAAAAAAAAUGUUUUUAAAAAUCCA